CCUCGUCUCCCAUCUCCAGUCGCAGCCGCCGCCACACCUGGCGACCCCUGCGCAGCACACACACGCCGCCGGACAGCCCCGCCGCCCAUACCUGCCGUCCCCUUCGCCACCCAUCCCCGCCUCGCCCCGCCCGCCGCCUCCCCUUCACGCCGGCGCGCGCUCGCCUCGCCUGCACCGGGCUACUUGUGAUCUGGACGUCGUCGAUGAUCUGGACCAAAAGGUGCUCAUUCUCAUAUUUCACACGUACAUGGCCGCCGGAAGGGUGGAAGAAUCGACAAUGUUAAGACUUUCAUGCACGAGAAGCAACAAUUAAUGGUGAAAGGAGGAGGAAGAUGACGGACGGUGAUGGAAGCUGCAGGCGAUGAGCUAGCAGCGAGGGACACAGAGGACACCAAGCAGACCUUCGGGAUAGAGACACAUUUAUCAGGAUUGUCUUCGUGUAGCGGGUGAUGGAUAAUGAGGGAUGGGACCUCGGCUUGACGCUCUUCAAGAUUGUCGUUUUAUUUGGGAGCCUGCCCUUCUAUCGCCACCAGGUGCCUGACCUUAAUUUGUGUUCUGCUCCUGUUAAUUUCUCUUGUGAAAUUGCUAUCAGGUAUUUGUGGUUGCUUUUGUAAAGGAAGAUAUCAACCCAAGAUAUCAUGACGGCACACAAGAUCAGCUUAGGAUGCUUGUACCACCAAUUUGAUGGCUUUCAACCAAAUUGUGCUAACUCUGGCGUGAGAACGGUAACAUAUAUGUUUUCCUCUAGGCGUCAUAGCAUUGUGGAUUUGCAUCAUUACUUCAGCAGGCUAGCUGGAUGUGAUCUGGACAUAGGUGAUUUUGAGCCAACACCAGCCUUAAAAGUAUGUCUCUGUUUUCUCUCAUGCUUCUACUAUGAUGCCCCGCAUCAUGUGUUUGUUAAAAUGCUUAACAAAUCUGAAGUAAGUUCAUGCCAGCCACAUGCUUGCUACGAUGCCUCUCAUAGAUCUCUAAUACUAACCUGCAUGCCAAACUUACUCUCGUUAUUAGGCAAGACUAGAUUGGAUGGAUAUAACUAAUCUAAUAUAUUUUCGAAUGUGAUCAUGGAUGCAUUUAAUGUUGAAUAAUAUCUCCUACAUCGUAAUUGAAGGUAAGUAGGUAAUAGUAAUUUUUCAUAUAUUGUUUGUUCUAGGUACUGCACUAAUGUUUCUACAGGAAACAUUUUACCUGACAUAUGUUUACAGGUACACGCACUUUAGAAGCCACAAACCAGUCCAACUCAUGUCUGAUGAUUUGGUAGAGCUGUCGUAACCAUGGAACUGGCUUCAUUUAUUGAUAAGAUUAUGUUCAUUGAUCCCAAGACUAUGCUCAUGGGACAAGGAUUAAGGAAGGUCGCCAUGGGAUGAUUUACAAGGAAUUGCCAGUAUUACGUGAGAAGGCCCAAGGCUGGAAUCAACGGUAGCAAGUUAUUGUUUCCCGUGAAGCCUUUUGUUUUUAUUAAUUACAUUAGAUCAUGACUUCUUUCUGGAUCAAUAAUUAUUGGAUGGUAAUUAUAUCUACCAGUUUAGCUUGGAAACAUCUAAAGUUUCAUAGCAGUGAAGGGGAGAGCAAGCGACUAACCAACACUAAUGCGUAAAAUGUAAAGAGAAAAGCAUGAUGGGGAAGGAUUAACUUUCAUUCAAGAGGUGGCCAUUGAGUUGGGCAGAUGAAGUUGUGGAACAACUUAAGCUGCACAGGUAUACCAUGCCGCCACCGCUAGGGAGCUCUUGGUUGCACUGCAAGCUGCAGGCCUUGUCAACUUGCUCGUGUCACUUAAGCGCCAUAACUUCGCCCCGCUCAAGAUGGAUAGUUUUCUGCAGGCCCCUCAUCGACGGCGGGUGACCUCCGCGUCAAUCUGCCGGAGCCCCCUCUUCUUCGACUCCGCCAACCGUGCAGCCACACCGUCGAUCUCCUCCACCUUGUGGUUGAUUUGCUACUAAACUUUCUGCACUAACUAUGGACCAAAUUGGUUGUAUCAGGGUGGAUAGUGAUAAUUUGAACAAUCUGAAGGUCGAUAGGUGGUUGCACAGGCACGCAUUUGCCACGGUGUCUCCCGCGGAAAUCUAAGGUUCAAGCCCAUCAAAACUGCAAAAAAUUGGUUACAGAAUUACAUGAGGAUGUAGGAUGGAGCCGUCCUUAGAAGAAUUGUCUAAAGAACAGAAAAGUAGUAACACCAUGUCUUUUUCAAGUCCAAAUCAGCAUUGCAAUGCGCUGACUAUCCGCCCAUGUUCCUUAUUGGAACCUUUGAUAAUUAUGAGAAGUCUUUUAAAUAUGUGUCCAUGUGUUGUAGUGAAUUUGUACAACGCAAGUCACCAUAAGUCGAUGUAUAGCACAAUGAAACAAAAGAAGUUUAACCGAGGGGGUCA